rnacentral:rRNA from 1 species
AGAGUUUGAUCAUGGCUCAGAUUGAACGCUGGCGGCAGGCCUAACACAUGCAAGUCGAACGGUAACAGGAAGCAGCUUGCUGCUUUGCUGACGAGUGGCGGACGGGUGAGUAAUGUCUGGGAAACUGCCUGAUGGAGGGGGAUAACUACUGGAAACGGUGGCUAAUACCGCAUAACGUCGCAAGACCAAAGAGGGGGACCUUCGGGCCUCUUGCCAUCAGAUGUGCCCAGAUGGGAUUAGCUUGUUGGUGAGGUAACGGCUCACCAAGGCGACGAUCCCUAGCUGGUCUGAGAGGAUGACCAGCCACACUGGAACUGAGACACGGUCCAGACUCCUACGGGAGGCAGCAGUGGGGAAUAUUGCACAAUGGGCGCAAGCCUGAUGCAGCCAUGCCGCGUGUAUGAAGAAGGCCUUCGGGUUGUAAAGUACUUUCAGCGGGGAGGAAGGUGUUGCGGUUAAUAACCGCAGCAAUUGACGUUACCCGCAGAAGAAGCACCGGCUAACUCCGUGCCAGCAGCCGCGGUAAUACGGAGGGUGCAAGCGUUAAUCGGAAUUACUGGGCGUAAAGCGCACGCAGGCGGUCUGUCAAGUCGGAUGUGAAAUCCCCGGGCUCAACCUGGGAACUGCAUUCGAAACUGGCAGGCUUGAGUCUUGUAGAGGGGGGUAGAAUUCCAGGUGUAGCGGUGAAAUGCGUAGAGAUCUGGAGGAAUACCGGUGGCGAAGGCGGCCCCCUGGACAAAGACUGACGCUCAGGUGCGAAAGCGUGGGGAGCAAACAGGAUUAGAUACCCUGGUAGUCCACGCCGUAAACGAUGUCUACUUGGAGGUUGUGCCCUUGAGGCGUGGCUUCCGGAGCUAACGCGUUAAGUAGACCGCCUGGGGAGUACGGCCGCAAGGUUAAAACUCAAAUGAAUUGACGGGGGCCCGCACAAGCGGUGGAGCAUGUGGUUUAAUUCGAUGCAACGCGAAGAACCUUACCUGGUCUUGACAUCCACGGAAGUUUUCAGAGAUGGAAUGGUGCCUUCGGGAACCGUGAGACAGGUGCUGCAUGGCUGUCGUCAGCUCGUGUUGUGAAAUGUUGGGUUAAGUCCCGCAACGAGCGCAACCCUUAUCCUUUGUUGCCAGCGAUCCGGUCGGGAACUCAAAGGAGACUGCCAGUGAUAAACUGGAGGAAGGUGGGGAUGACGUCAAGUCAUCAUGGCCCUUACGACCAGGGCUACACACGUGCUACAAUGGCGCAUACAAAGAGAAGCGACCUCGCGAGAGCAAGCGGACCUCAUAAAGUGCGUCGUAGUCCGGAUUGGAGUCUGCAACUCGACUCCAUGAAGUCGGAAUCGCUAGUAAUCGUGGAUCAGAAUGCCACGGUGAAUACGUUCCCGGGCCUUGUACACACCGCCCGUCACACCAUGGGAGUGGGUUGCAAAAGAAGUAGGUAGCUUAACCUUCGGGAGGGCGCUUACCACUUUGUGAUUCAUGACUGGGGUGAAGUCGUAACAAGGUAACCGUAGGGGAACCUGCGGUUG